rnacentral:rRNA from 1 species
UACGUAGGGUGCGAGCGUUAAUCGGAAUUACUGGGCGUAAAGCGUGCGCAGGCGGUUUUGUAAGUCAGAUGUGAAAUCCCCGGGCUCAACCUGGGAACUGCAUUUGAGACUGCAAAGCUGGAGUGCGGCAGAGGGGGGAUGGAAUUCCGCGUGUAGCAGUGAAAUGCGUAGAUAUGCGGAGGAACACCAAUGGCGAAGGCAAUCCCCUGGGCCUGCACUGACGCUCAUGCACGAAAGCGUGGGGAGCAAACAGGAUUAGAAACCCGUGUAGU